UUUUCUUUAAAGUUUUUGGUCAAAUACAUCUUAUCUCAUACUUUGACUAUGGCAACGAAUCUUUUUGCGCAGAACAUUACAUGCUUAUCCUUCGUGCCCUUGUUGCAUCAACAAUCAUUCACUAAAGAGUAGUUAUAAGAAAAGAUCAUGCAACAACAUCAAGGAGCUUAUGCGUGGAAUGGGGAGUGAUUCAAAGUUUAUAUCAAUAGAGCAGUUCAAGCUUUCACAAGUAGCUUCAUGCACAGAUCUGGCAAUUAUAUCACAGUUAUAGGUGGACUAUGAAAGGAGGGGUCUUAUUUCUCCCAAUCAUACAUGUACUCAUAUGUUAAACUUUGUAUUGAAGGUUGUACUUGGUGAUCACAUUGAUCAAAAGGGAUCCUUGGUAGCUCCAAACAAGUUCCACUUUGAUUUAUCACAUGGUUAGGUGUUAUUGAGCCAUCAAAGUAUCAUUUGUUCCUCUUAUUGUGUUAUUUCUCAUAGGCAAACCUAUUAAUGUUGAUGCUUUGAAGCAAAUAGAGGGAAUUGUAAAUCAGCUGGUUCAAGAUGAGUUAUAUGUAUAUGCAAAAGAAGCUAGCUUGAUGGAGGCAAAAUGCAUCUGGGUCUCCUAGCUGUGUUUGGAGAAGUAAGGAACCCUCAUUAACGAGGGUCGAACUCAGAGAAAUUUUUUUAUCUUGAUAAGUUGUGAAAUUUAAUGUUUUACUAAAUUGCUAUACUUUUUAAAUUUCUC